CAGGGCAGCAAGAGGGACUGGUGGAUGAAGGGAUGUUGGGAGAGGCACAUGGUUUGGAGCACAGGGCCCUAGGCACAGUGAGAUAAAUCCUUCUUCAUCUCUAGAAGCUAUGUACUACUCACAUCCCACAUAAGCUCCACCUUGAAAGGGUCCAUAUCUGACUGGAAUUCACCUCAGAGAAAACAGAAGAAUUAGGGCUUCAUAUGCAUAAGGAAAGUUAGAAUGGACAACUACAUCUACAGAGAAAAGAUGGUCAACUAUUCUGUCUUUACACACUGGACUUUUG